GACGAACCGUGCGAACGUUAUUCGGAAUCACUGGGCUUAAAGCGCGUGUAGGCGGGCCGGCACGUCGGUCGCUGAAAUCCCCCGGCUCAACCGGGGAAGUGGCACCGAUACGACCGGCCUGGAGGGGGGUAGGGGGCGCUGGAACUCACGGUGGAGCGGUGAAAUGCGUUGAGAUCGUGAGGAACGCCCGCGGCGAAAGCGAGCGCCUGGACCCUUUCUGACGCUGAGACGCGAAAGCCAGGGGAGCGAACGGG
rnacentral:rRNA from 1 species